rnacentral:misc_RNA from 1 species
AACGCACAUUGCACUCUGUUUCGGCAGAGUAUGCCUGUUUGAGAAUCUAUAGUAUUCAUUCACCUGUGUUGAGUUUAACUUUGCACAGGCGAGAUUUGAUGCGUCCCACUUAACCUGGGUGCAUUUAAACCUAUAGCUGCUUGCAAGACUGCAGAAAAGUAUGUGUAUGGAACCUCGGUUUCUCUAAUGCUGACUAUGCACCUUGAGGGCACUCAACCAUUAGAGCUUAACACCUCGAACCAUGGUCUCAAAUCAGGCAGGAGGACCCGCUGAACUUAA